GCUAACAGACACAGCAGGCUGAAUAUGCCCAAUCUUCUUUGAUCUCAGACACUAAAUCAUCGCAGGCCUGUCUAGUUUUUAGAUGGGAGACUGCAUGGGGAUCCUGAGUGCUAUAGGCA
rnacentral:rRNA from 1 species